GAGGACUCUGAUAGGUGGUUAGUUCAGGAGGACUCUGAUAGGUGGUUAGUUCAGGAGGACUCUGAUAGGUGGUUAGUUCAGGAGGACUCUGAUAGGUGGUUAGUUCAGGAGGACUCUGAUAGGUGGUUAGUUCAGGAGGACUCUGAUAGGUGGUUAGUUCAGGAGGACUCUGAUAGGUGGUUAGUUCAGGAGGACUCUGAUAGGUGGUUAGUUCAGGAGGACUCUGAUAGGUGGUUAGUUCAGGAGGACUCUGAUAGGUGGUUAGUUCAGGAGGACUCUGAUAGGUGGUUAGUUCAGGAGGACUCUGAUAGGUGGUUAGUUCAGGAGGACUCUGAUAGGUGGUUAGUUCAGGAGGACUCUGAUAGGUGGUUAGUUCAGGAGGACUCUGAUAGGUGGUUAGUUCAGGAGGACUCUGAUAGGUGGUUAGUUCAGGAGGACUCUGAUAGGUGGUUAGUUCAGGAGGACUCUGAUAGGUGGUUAGUUCAGGAGGACUCUGAUAGGUGGUUAGUUCAGGAGGACUCUGAUAGGUGGUUAGUUCAGGAGGACUCUGAUAGGUGGUUAGUUCAGGAGGACUCUGAUAGGUGGUUAGUUCAGGAGGACUCUGAUAGGUGGUUAGUUCAGGAGGACUCUGAUAGGUGGUUAGUUCAGGAGGACUCUGAUAGGUGGUUAGUUCAGGAGGACUCUGAUAGAAGUCAAAGAUGCUUGGAAGGCCCUGUUUCAUCCCUCUGUUGUUAUUCUAGUUGCAUUUGUCUGUAAUGGAAGAUAAUGCUUGGGAUUGGGA